UGCUGGAGCUCCCUCAUCAUGGUUUUGGGCAGUAGCACUACUCUGGAGAAAAAUGGGCAUCUAAAUGCUGUCUCACUGAAAGAGCCACCACAUGAUUUCCAAGAGAUGGUGGUUUCUCUAUCGUGCAUUCUUCUAAAUGAACUGAAGACAAAAGUCAAUGUUUCUCUGCCAUCAAAUGUAUUUUCUGGUCCUUUACAGCUUGAGGCUUGUCUUAUCCUCACAGUGCAAGCAGUGCAGCAGAUGCUCCUAAAUGACCUUACAUACUUGAGUUCCUUUCUGGAAAUAACGCUGGCUUUCGGGGUAAGUCCUAGGAAUCUUCAACUCUAGUAAAUUAAAACAAUGCUUAAAAUGCAAU
rnacentral:lncRNA from 1 species